AGCUCCAGUAGCGUAUAUUAAAGUUGUUGCAGUUAAAAAGCUCGUAGUUGGAUUUCUGGCGUGACGUGACUGCCCCGCUGGGUCAAUCCCAUGUGAGUGGUGGUUUACAUCCGUCAUCCUUCUGGAGAAACGUAGGUCCCGCUUGCGGUGUGCCUACGGUGCUUCAGAUCUUUUACUUUGAAAAAAUUAGAGUGUUUAAAGCAGGCUUUCGCGUAUGAAUACAUUAGCAUGGAAUAAUAAUAUAGGACUUCGGCCUAUUUAUUGGUUUCUGGACGAAGUAAUGAUUGAUAGGGAUAGUUGGGGGUGCUAGUAUCAUGCGGUCAGAGGUGAAAUUCUCGGAUUCGCGUGCGACUAACUUAUGCGAAAGCAUUCACCAAGGAUGUCUUCU
rnacentral:rRNA from 1 species